UCUAACACCUCGAACGGUUCGCGGUAGGCCCUCAGGUGUAGUAAAAGUGAUAUUUGAUAUGAAUGGAAAUGUCAUCAAUGUCAAUUUUAGUUGAAAUCACGUUCGUUUCCCAUAGAAACCUGUUGGAAGCGAAAAUAAUGAGACCUCAGAGCUUACACCACGAAAUUGAGUGAAGCUUGAAAGUCAAUACAUCUUCAUUAUCGUCUACCAUAGACUAGGAAUCCUCUAGACCGAGUUUAGAGCAAUUAUUUCAUGCAACCGAUGAUGCCAAAAAUGCGGGGGUGCGCGGGACGAGGUGAGCGAAGUCCCGUGCCGUGAUUGGUCCGUUCAAAGACACGGACGUCACACAAAGACACUUUCGACUCGAACAUGGAUUAAAUUUCCGUUUGCGUGGCAGAAGGGGUAGCGCGGCUAUGCUCGGUCUAGAGGAUUCCUAGUCUAUGUCGUUUACACAUGUGAUGAUAUACUUAAUGUAAAAGUUACAUUUAAUUCUAACUUAAUGCCUUUUAAUGUGAGCAAAUAUAGUCUGGCAAACCGUUUUGUCAAUAGAAAAAGGCGCGAAUUUCAAAUUUAGUAUGCAAGACCGACCCUUCGCGCCUACAUUCUCCAAUUUGCCGCCUUUUUCUACUGGCGGAAAUUACCAAACUUACCAAACUAUAUAAUAUUUGUUGCUGAAAUGAAACAUUUGAAAAUGGAAAAUAUUUAUUAAAAAUGGAGUAUUGUAUGAUAAAAGUCGUCCGUCGUUAUACUUGGUAUUUUUAGACUCAAGCAUGAAGAAAGAUGAAGGAUGGCUCACACUAGAACGGUCUGGGUCCGGGCCCUGGCGUUCGACACUUCGUUUUCUAUGACGGGUGAUACCGAUCACGUGAUGCUUCUAUAGAAUCUAAAGUGUUGAUGUUUACCAGUUGCUUUUCGAUGAAAAAAACAUCGUGAGGAAACCGAACUAAUCCCAAUAAUACCUAGUUUCCCCUCUGGGUUGGAAGGUCAGAUGGCAGUCGCUUUCGUAAAAACUUGUACCUAAGUCAAUUCUUGGGAUUAGUUGUCUCCCCAGGCUUAUGAGCCAGAUCAAAAUGCCAGGAUAACGCGAAAAAGAAGAAUAAUUAGCAGUAUCAGUUCGCGAUUUCAGUGUGUAACACGAAGUCACAGAAUAUAUAAUAGUACUAGGUACAGAAGACUUACUCUCUAACAAAACGCGUCUGUUACGAUCAGGACAGAUAUGGCCGCUAGGUGGCGACAGCGCCACGCGCGGCUUAUGGCUUAUUCAAAAUUGGGGUGGAAUGGAUGUACUUUUAGCUACCUGUAGCAAAGCGUAAAAUCGCGGAGUGAGCCACGCCUGACGAAGUGCUUAUUUUAUCCAUGUUCUAGGAUAGAUAACGCUAAAUAAAUUAUGUAAAUAAUGCUAUUGUCUGAAUGCCGAGGUUCAAAGGGCUAUCUGACAAUAAAGAGUCAACAGCAGAAGUUGCUAAGCGGGCCAGGUGUUCAAUAUGAUCUUGCCGUGACUUUAUUGUUAAGAGAAUAAGAACGUGUCUAGGUAAUUUUGAACACGCUCGCUUAGCAACUUCUGCUGCUGAUUGUACGAGUAUAUGCCAGUGAAUGUUAGUAGAUAGAUAUUUAUAACCAAUCUGGCUGAGAUGUAGGAUCAGUAUCGCCGUUAUACGCGCCACCAGCAUGUGUAUCCGAGGCACACGCCACCGUUUUAAGUCGACCGCCAGGUGGCUUGGGUUCGACGACGGUGCUGCCCUUCCACACAUCGAUUGAAACCACUUUUCUACCCUACCCACAUAUGUAUUACCUAACCCUUUGCCUAUGUACUUAUGAUUGUUUUAAUGUAAUAAAUUUUUGUUGAUCUGUUGGAAACAUGGUGCGUGUUUUAAUGAAUUUAAAAGUAUGUUACUUAUAAUUUUAAACGAAGCGCGGAGCAUAUGUGACUCGGAUAUAUGAACAAUAUAUUCGCUGGAUGCAGAACUGUGGCGCCGCUCUAGUGGGUGAGGUGAGGGACAUAUUGUUAUAUGACAUGUGACAGUUAGCUGCCAAAUAGUAUGAUGAUGACGUCCCACGAAAGUUCAUAUUUUCACCACGUCGUGCGUUAGCGUCGUCGCUUGUAUUCCCCCCACCACCAUCUUUGCAUAAAUUCUCUAAUGUCAUUAAUAUACCAAUUCUGACAGUAAAUCGUUAAUUAUGUUAGAAUAAAAUAUCUCAUAGACAUUAAGUAUGUUAAUGCUUGGCCAGAGAUAAUAUAUAUUUUUCUGUAGUAUAUACCAUCUCAUAGUUAUAUCACAUUUAUCUUAUAAAACAGUUUUUAACUAUUUACUAUUCGUAUCUGAAAAUGCCUAAUGUCAGUGUAUCACUGAGUCGUUCUAAAAAAAAACCCGAGCCUACAACUUUUCGCUCUGCUCAUUAUUUCCAUUCAAUUACGAUAUAAUAUGUUGUUGACAAGUCCGUCUCUAGGAUUAGAAAGCUGUAAUUCGAUAUGUUUAACUUUGUAAAAUUAAAUAUUGAAAAAAAAUGUCCCAUAAUGAGGUUUUUUCGAACGACCCAUUUGCUAAUAUUUUAUGCAGUAUUUGCCGACAUUUAACGUACGGAUGCGUUUAGGCUUCAUAAUACAUAAAUCCAACAUUUUUCUGGUCAAGUUAGUUAAAAUUGUAGAUAGAAACAUCAAUUAUCAUAAUCAAUGUAUUUUUGUAAUAAAAAGUAAAUAGAUCUCUCGUUACGUCCAAAUUCAAGUCUCCUAUGUUGUGUAGAAAGAACUUAUUUUAUGUAAAAAGUAAUUAAAUUUGAAAAUCUACCCCCAAUAAUGUUAACUUAUCAUGCGCGCUUCACAGUAUUUGAGAAGAAAACAUCUUGUAACAUUUUAAUAUCGAAAUGAAUUCUUAUAUUUCACUUCUUUUUUGUCCAAAAAAAACUUUCAUGUUUUUAAUUUUGGAUUGCGUUGCUUGUAAAUCAUAAAUACAAUGAUGAUGCUACAUCAUGCAUAAAUAAGAUAAUAUAGGUAUGAAUUUCGAUGAAAACAUUGAUAUGUAUUCCUAUAUACCUAGUGACAUCCACGGAGAUAAGUAGACAUUACAUACAGGUGUUUUUUCAACUGUAGGUAUUCUGCAAGUUGAAGAACUUUCACUAUGGAAUUAGCCCCUAAAUCGUCCUAAAAAGUAUGAAACAGUCAAUUUUUCUCGGAAUAUUCGGGGUUGCUCACAUUGUAAAAGUUAUGCCAUCGCCUAAAAACAAAAUAUAUAUCCUGUAAGUACUUAUACAAAAUCUAUAAUAGGAUUGGAAGAGGCAUAUUUACCAUGAAUCUGUACUCGUAUUUUGUAGAUAUCCGUCUAUUAGUCAUUCUCAUGUUGAAAUGCACCGUAAGUCCUUGUUAUUAGAGUCGUUAAUAGAACAAACUGUCCGGUCUUGGUUUAUACAUUAUUUUAUGGAAUUUAAAAGGAGAGUUUUGUAUAUCAAUUGACGCUUGAGUCGCUUCAGUUUAUACCAAAAUCAGAUUGCUUAUUAACUUUGUUUUCAGUAUGUAGGGUACAUCGCCAAUUACUAGCCACCCCCCAAUUACUGGCCACUUAAUUUGAUUUCUAUUUAUAGGUGAACAAAGUUCAUUUUAGUAUAUAAGGUACGAAAAUCCAAUUAUUAGCCAUUUUUCAAUUACUGGCCACCUAUUCCAAAAAUGAAUUCUAUUUACAGAUAAAUAAAACUCAUUUUCAGUAUAAGGAAAAUGGCCAGUAACUGAAAUUUAUCCACAACCCACUCGUUCAAUAACUGGCCGCCUCUUACAAAAAUGAGUUCUAUUCACCUAUACACAGAAUUCAUUUUAGUAUAGGUGGCCAGUAAUUGGGGGGUGGCUAGUAAUUGGCGAUGUACCCUAUUUUGUAGUACAUGUUAUUUUAUAAUUAAAUUGAGGUUGGAAAAUAGAUCAUACCUAAAGUUUAAGAAUUUAAUUUAGGAACGAAUUUUAUAAAUUGCUUUAUACGAAACAAAAAAUGAUAAUGGUUCCUUUCAACCUCAGAUUGAAGACUGGAAUAAAUUGAAACACAUGUUGUAUGGUUUUGGCAUUAGGUAUAUUAAAAAAGUAUGUGGGAAAUAAAUAACAAUCAUAUUCUACUCAAACCUUAAAUCGUAAUCUUAUUGAAUUCAAUUUACUCCAGAUAUGUAAAAGUUCGAAUAACUCUCCAGUGCAUGUCUUAUAUAAUGACUAUCUUAUUGUUACUAAAAUGUUUAAGUAUACGUGAUAUAAACGUGUCAAAACUACACGUCACAUGUGUGUACAUGUGAAUUUGUAGUCCACUCUUUGGAUAAUUUGAAUAUGUAAUUUUAAACUUUUGACCGCCACAACUAUUUUAUAUAACACGCGAUUGUAACCUUUAUUAGAAUGUACUAAGGUUCAUAUUGUAUUGUAAUCUUUGUCGGCUAUGGCCGACUUGGCGCUCAAAUGGUUAACAAAAGUAUGGCCGUCUUCAAAUUUAUGUUGUGAUUUUAUUUAAGACUUGCAAUAAAUUGUUGUAAAUAGUAUUUUUAUGUUCUAAAAUGAUUAUUGUAGUUAAACUGGAUUAUAUUGAAUGUUACAUUUAA